rnacentral:tRNA from 1 species
GGCUUUUUAGUUUAAUUAAAAAAUACUGGUUUUGUAAACCUGUGAUAAUACUCUAUUACUAGCCU